UGGGGAAUAUUGCACAAUGGAGGAAACUCUGAUGCAGCGACGCCGCGUGAGCGAUGAAGUAUUUCGGUAUGUAAAGCUCUAUCAGCAGGGAAGAUAAUGACGGUACCUGAGUAAGAAGCUCCGGCUAAAUACGUGCCAGCAGCCGCGGUAAUACGUAUGGAGCAAGCGUUAUCCGGAUUUACUGGGUGUAAAGGGAGCGUAGACGGCGUAUCAAGUCUGAUGUGAAAGGCGUGGGCUCAACCCGUGGACUGCAUUGGAAACUGGUAUGCUUGAGUGCCGGAGGGGUAAGCGGAAUUCCUAGUGUAGCGGUGAAAUGCGUAGAUAUUAGGAGGAACACCAGUGGCGAAGGCGGCUUACUGGACGGUAACUGACGUUGAGGCUCGAAAGCGUGGGGAGCAAACAGGAUUAGAUACCCUGGUAGU
rnacentral:rRNA from 1 species